UAUUAAAAAUUUCAUCCAUUUUUACUGUUAAAAACUGACAUGGCUAACAAAAUAACUAGACAGUUACACGUUGCACGCCAUGUGUACCUCAUGCUGACGUACAAGACCAGUUUUUAAUAGUAGAAAAGGAUGAAAAUUUUAACA
rfam:Gossypium hirsutum cultivar TM-1 unplaced genomic scaffold scaffold2882.1, whole genome shotgun sequence